GAGUAUGAUCCUGGCUCAGGACGAACGCUGGCGGCGUGCCUAAUACAUCCAAGUCGACCGAAUCUUUCGGGACUCAUCCCUUGAGAUUAGCGGCGGACGGGUGAGUAACACGUGGGUAACACCCCUGUAAGACUGGGAUAACUUCGGGAAACCGGAGAUAAUACCGGAUAGUUUCUUUUCUCGCAUGAGGGAAGAUGGAAAGAUGGUUCUGCUAUCACUUACAGAUGGACCCGCGGCGCAUUAGCUAGUUGGUGAGGUAAAGGCUCACCAAGGCCACGAUGCGUAGCCGACCUGAGAGGGUGAUCGGCCCCACUGGGACUGAGACCCGGCCCAGACUCCUACGGGAGGCAGCAGUAGGGAAUCUUCCGCAAUGGACGAAAGUCUGACGGAGCAACGCCGCGUGAGUGAUGAAGGUUUUCGGAUCGUAAAACUCUGUUGCCAGGGAAGAACGC
rnacentral:rRNA from 1 species